rnacentral:rRNA from 1 species
UACGUAGGGGGCGAGCGUUGUCCGGAAUUCCUGGGCGUAAAGGGCGCGCAGGCGGCCGUGUAAGUCCGCUGUGAAAGACCGGGGCUCAACCCCGGGGUGUCAGCGGGGACUGCACGGCUGGAGUCCCGGAGAGGGAGGCGGAAUACCUGGUGUAGCGGUGGAAUGCGUAGAGAUCAGGUGGAACACCGAUGGCGAAGGCAGCCUCCUGGACGGGUACUGACGCUCAUGCACGAAAGCGUGGGGAGCAAACAGG